AGCUCUCCGAGUUGUAGGGAUGAUUAUUGGGCUUAAAGCGUCCGUAGCCGGCUUAGCAAGUCUCCUGUUAAAUUCAGCGACCUAAUCGUUGAGCCGCGGGAGAUACUACUAGGCUAGGAGGCGGGAGAGGUCGACGGUACUUUCGGAGUAGGGGUGAAAUCCUAUAAUCCCGGGAGGACCACCAGUGGCGAAGGCUGUCGACUAGAACGCGCUCGACGGUGAGGGACGAAAGCUGGGGAAGCGAACCGGAUUAGAGACCCGUGUAGUCC
rnacentral:rRNA from 1 species